AUACCUAAAUAAGACGAGAAGACCCUAUGGAGCUUCAAUUUAAUAAUACAAACUAAUAUCUUAAAAACCCACAGGCACUAACCCACUGUCUAUGUAUUAUAAAUUUUGAAAUGGGAAGAGCAUCGUGAAGGGAAAG